UUGAGGAUGUUUUCCCCUUGGUUCGCCCGACCUGGGACUACGACACUGUUGCUGGUAGGGAGCGGCUCCGUCUCUAUCGCCAGGUACUCCUAGCGGGUCUCAAAGGGGCAGGGCGUCGCCCCACCAAUUUGGCGAAGGUACGUGCUAUAGUGCAGGGAAAAGAUGAGACGCCGGCAGGUUUUCUGCAGAGGUUAAUAGAAGGCUAUACUGGCCACCGUAGUACAGGGCUCAGGGCAGAGUAAGUCAGGACAGAGUAGGGACCUGGGAGACAAAAGAGGACCACGGGUUGAACGAGACCAGUGUGCCUACUGCAAGGAAAAAGGACAUUGGGUUAAAGAUUGCCCAAGGAAGGGCCAAACGCAGGGACCUAAAAAGAAGCCCAUUCCUGUUUUGUCCCUAGAAGAUGAAGAUUAGGGAUGUCAGGGCCAGGAAACCCCCCCCCCCCGAGCCUCGGAUAACCCUUAAAGUGGGGGGACAGCCGGUGACCUUCCUGGUCGAUACGGGAGCUCAACAUUCAGUUUUAACUGAGGCAAAAGGACCCUUGAGCUCUAAAACGUCUUGGGUUCAGGGGGCAACUGGAGGCAAGUUAUAUCGAUGGACAACCGAACGGAAGGUCCACCUGAGCACUGGGCAAGUAACGCAUUCCUUCUUACUGGUCCCAGACUGCCCUUACCCUCUCCUAGGCAGAGACCUUCUUUCAAAAGUAGGGGCCCAGAUACAUUUUCAGCAAAAAGGGGCCACUAUUACUGGCGCGGGAGGGCAGCCCCUCCAGGUACUGACCUUGCGCCUAGAGGAUGAACACCGGCUGCACGAGGACUCUCCACCGGCCGUGCAGCCCCUAGAUUCUGAAUGGCUCACUAACUACCCUCAGGCCUGGGUGGAAACGGCCGGAAUGGGACUAGCUGUAAACCAGCCGCCCAUAAUUAUAAACUUAAAACCCUCGGCCACCCCCAUAUCGAUCCGGCAAUAUUCAAUGAGCAAAGAGGCCAAAGAAGGCAUUUGGCCCCAUAUACAGAGACUAUUACAAUUGGGCAUUUUAAUACCUUGCCAGUUGCCCUGGAAUACUCCUCUAUUACCCGUAAAAAAACCCGGCACAGGAGAUUACCGGCCGGUACAAGAUUUACGAGAGGUUAACUGGAGGCCAGAGGUGGCUGACGGAGAGCUGCAAAAAGGCUGUAGCCCUGAUCCCAGCACCCACUAAUGCCAAAGGACUACGAGAGUUCCUCGGCAGUGCUGGGUUCUGCUGCCUCUGGAUACCCGGGUUUGCGGAGAUGGCGGCUCCCCUAUAUCCUCUCACGAAAUCCAACACCCCCUACCACUGGGGAAAGGAGCAGCAAUUGGCUUUUGACAAAAUAAAAAGGGCCUUAUUGACUGCCCCUGCCCUGAGCCUCCCAGAUGUAACCAAGCCUUUUACGCUAUAUGUUGAUGAACAUAAUGGAAUAGCCAAAGGGGUCCUAACUCAAAAACUGGGACCCUGGAAAAGGCCCGUGGCAUACUUUUCAAAAAAAAUUAGACAGCGUGGCUGCAGGAUGGCCCCCAUGUCUCCGGAUAAUAGCGGCUAUGGCAGUCCUGGUAAAAGACUCAGACAAGUUGACUUUUGGCCAACCCCUCACUGUGGUGGCCCCCCACGCCGUAGAGACAGUCAUCCGCCAGCCCCCUGAUCGAUGGCUCUCAAACGCCCGGGUCACCCAUUAUCAGGCCAUGUUACUGAAUUCUGAGCAGAUACAGUUUGGAACGGCUACAUCUCUAAACCCGGCCACCUUGCUUCCAGAAACCGAGUCCCCCUCCCUAGUAAUGCAUGAUUGCCACCAGAUCCUAGCUGAAGUCCAUGGCACCAGAGGGGACUUGACGGACCAGCCUUUGCCAGAUGCUGAAGCAACCUGGUACACCGAUGGGAGUAGCUUUCUACGAAAUGGCUGGACAGAAGCUUUCCCCACCAAGCGAGAAACCGCCCAGGUGGUUGUCAAGAAAAUCCUGGAAGAAAUUUUCCCCCGGUUUGGACUGCCCAAGGUAAUAGGGUCGGACAACGGCCCCGCCUUCGUCUCCCAGGACAGGCUAAAGGCGCUCCAGAUUAUCCAGCACCAGAUCUGGAAACCCCUUGCGGCUGUCUACCGCCCCGGAGACACACCGGCCCACACCCGUUCCAGAUCGGGGACUCCGCCUACGUCAGGAGACAUCAGUCCAGGACGCUUGAGCCCCGCUGGAAGGGCCCAUAUACUGUACUACUGACCACCCCAACCGCCUUAAAGGUAGACGGCAUUGCUGCUUGGGUCCACGCCUCACACGUCCAGCGCGCCCCAUCAACGAGCACCGCUGACGCCAGCCA